UACUUACUCUACGUGUGUGUCACUCGAUGACCACUGUGAAGACAGUAAAAUGUACAGUGGUUCUCUUGUGGCUCAAGCGUAAUGUAGAGUACUGGUC
rnacentral:pre_miRNA from 10 species